AGGGAUCAUUACAAGUGACCCCGGUCUAACCACCGGGAUGUUCAUAACCCUUUGUUGUCCGACUCUGUUGCCUCCGGGGCGACCCUGCCUUCGGGCGGGGGCUCCGGGUGGACACUUCAAACUCUUGCGUAACUUUGCAGUCUGAGUAAACUUAAUUAAUAAAUUAAAACUUUUAACAACGGAUCUCUUGGUUCUG
rnacentral:misc_RNA from 1 species